rfam:Camelus ferus unplaced genomic scaffold scaffold261, whole genome shotgun sequence.
GAGGGUAUAGCUCAAGUGGUAGAGUGCAUGCUUAGUACGCACAAGGUACUGGGUUCAAUUCCCUGUACCUCCU